AUUGAACGCUGGCGGCAGGCCUAACACAUGCAAGUCGAACGAGUGGCGGACGGGUGAGAAAUGUGUGGGAAACUGCCCGAGGGAGGGGGAUAACUACUGGAAACGGGAUCUAAUAGCGCAUACUCUGGGAUGUGCCCAGAUGGGUUUAGCUUGUGGGUGGGGUAAGGGCUCACCUAGGCGACGCUCCCGAGCUGGUCUGAGAGGAUGACCAGCCACACUGGGACUGAGACACGGCCCAGACUCCUACGGGAGGCAGCAGUGGGGAAUAUUGCACAAUGGGCGCAAGCCUGAUGCAGCCAUGCCGCGUGUAUGAAGAAGGCCUUCGGGUUGUAAAGUACUUUCAGCGGGGAGGCGUUACUCGCAGAAGAAGCACCGGCUAACUCCGUGCCAGCCGCCGCGGUAAUUC
rnacentral:rRNA from 1 species